GUUCUUCUCAGAUCACUCAUUAUCUUUUAUAUAUCUCACUGAGGCUGUUUUAAUUUUGCAAAAAUUCUCAAGCAUACUUACUUUGCAUUUAUUGCCUGAUCAAAACGGGAUCUGAGGAGGGGAAUGUCAUACUCUUAGAUCAAAGACUUUGGAAAUUAAAAUCUUUGUCAACUCUUGCUGGCAUAUUGCUUAUUAGAGGGACCAUGGGCUAUCAUUUUUCUCUCUUUUCUUUUUUUUAAGUGGAUACCGAGAUACCCCUAAUUCUACUGCCGGACACUUGUCCAUUUUUUUCUGCGAGGUUGUCGAGCACUUGCUCCUUUUUAUUUCCUCAAAAAUAUCUUUAUUUUUGCAUAGCCCAUGCCUCUAAUGCAAUAAUACUUCGGAAGAGUGAAUCUUUCUUAAAUAAUGUCUUGAUCUUAGGAGCAUGAUAAAUCUCUCAACAAGGGUCUAACUCAUUUUGAACAAACUCAAUACAGAGUAGAUAGCUUUUAUAAUUAAAAUUAAUAUUUUCAGUUUUAUCAGGCAUAUAAAACACUGAGGAUGGUAGCU
rnacentral:lncRNA from 1 species